rnacentral:rRNA from 1 species
CAGUCGCCGCGGUAAUACGUAUGUCACGAGCGUUAUCCGGAUUUAUUGGGCGUAAAGCGCGUCUAGGUGGUUAUGUAAGUCUGAUGUGAAAAUGCAGGGCUCAACUCUGUAUUACGUUGGAAACUGUGUAACUAGAGUACUGGAGAGGUAAGCGGAACUACAAGUGUAGAGGUGAAAUUCGUAGAUAUUUGUAGGAAUGCCGAUGGGGAAGCCAGCUUACUGGACAGAUACUGACGCUGAAGCGCGAAAGCGUGGGUAGCAAACAGGAUUAGAUACCCCCGUAGUCCCUGUCUCUUAUACA